GCCGCCUGUCCCGCCGCAGCCGGGGCGGGGGACCAGCAGCCUCCCCCUGCCCCGGGAGGGCAGGACGGAGAGGAGCCCUAGCGCUGACGAUUACAUUAUUUUAUGGUUCUUCCCUGAUGCUCCAUAAAUAGCCACUGGUCCCAAAUUAGGGUACUGUGAUUGAAGAAUAUGAAGUCCUUAGUUAUAAUGUUUGUAACCUAGUUCAACAACAUUUAAAUAAAUUUCUUCUGGAUGAGCCUGUGUAAAGACAGUUUAAAGGGUUGUUCUUUUAUCUAAAGUAACUCUGGCCUUCUAAUACCACUGCUCAGACUUUCUUCAAAACAGUGAAGUUCCUUCUCUAUUAUUGUCAGUCCUUUGUUGAUAUAUUU